AACUUGGUGAACACAUAAACAAUCUUCUCGUUCUUGCACUUUGGUGAUUGAAUCCAAAGGUCUUUUUGAUCGUCAAAUAUCUCCUACGGCGUCGAGUUUUGGCCAUAAUUUCUCUGUGACAAUUGCGCAAGGCAGGGUUAUUCCAAAGUAAGUAAGUACAUGAUGAGUUCAUCAGUUGGCUCAAACUUAAACUCUGCUGGAACUAAUUUUCAAUAUCCAUCAUUGUCAAUGAUAAUAAUUCUGAAGAUGCUUAAGAAUUUAUGCAAAAGUAUUUAGGGUGAAUUUCUGUUGAACAAGAAGAUAUAUAGCGGAAAGGAAAGAUUGGGUAAUUAAUUAGUUUCCUAAUUGAAAUUUGAAAGAUUCUGAAAAAGAUUGAGAUAAAUCAUGAAGGAGAUCACUCACGUGUAGCCCAAAUACUAGUUACGUUGAGGCUAAUUACUAAUUAUGCGUUGGUUUCCUUUAUUUGGUUCAGAGGAAAGGAAAAUGAAAACAAAAGAAGAGAGCAUAAAUUUUGAUCACAGUUUUUUUAAUAAGAGCAUUUAGUUUUAUAUGGUCUCUCACAUAAAUUAAAAUUAAAAAUAAUUUUUCUAUGUUUAUAGCAGAUAUUAAUCCAACCCAUGUGAUUGGUGUAAAUUACUUUUGUUGCACUUAAGAUAAUUUUUCUCAUUAGGCUCAUCAAUUACUCUUGUUGGUUCUGGAUGAUAAUUCUGUUCAUAGGAAAAGAUCUGUUUCAGCAAUGGCAUAUGAGAAAUCCAACUGACUUGUUGAAAAUAGAAACAUACAAGAAAUCCAACUGACUCUAUUAUGGAAUCAUCAAAGUUGUCAAAAGUAGCUAUCUGUUCUAUGAAUGUUAAGCUAAUUAAAGAGCUACUAUAUGCAAGAAUUCUGUAAAAUUACUAUUUAAAGCCGGAGUUUAUUAUUUCCUUUUAUUUUACAUUAGCAUCAUCAAAGUAUUUCUGGCAAUAAUUCAAUACUGGUUAUUAAUUUAUCCCCUGGUGAACUAUCUGUAUCUUUGUCCAAAAAAGGAAUCCUGUUUUCUUUGUAAUGUCUUUGGAAAAUGGUACUCCUUUAUUUGUUAUAUGUAUAUUAGAAAACUUGGAUAUUCCCAUGUUCCAUAUCAGUAGAUAAUUUUGUUGAAAGUCUCCUUUAGAAACUCAUUCAGUACCUCGUUGAGUUUAUCUUCUGUAAGGUUAUCAGCAUCACCUAGUACUCCUUUAGCCCGAUAUGUUCUAAAAUAAGAUAAGAAGAUCAAACUUAUUCGGGAACUCUAUAUUCAACGAAACCAAAAUCUUCACGCCUACACUAAAAUGCAAACUCUUGGAAAUGAUCCAUUAGGACACCUUGAAAGAUAGAGUUUCUUAAAACUACUGUAAGGGUAGAUAAGAGGUACUUUUCUUGAUAUUUUUUCCUACUUUCAGUAACCAGUAUUCUAAAGUAAGUCAACUCUAACUGUGCUUCAGUGAACAUAACUUUUUUUUUUUACUAUAUUUAGUACCUUCAACUUUGCGAUGUGCCAGAAAUAAAACUAAUUUGAGACAACACGUGAAUUUUCUCUGCAUGAUGAAAUUCAUCAAAGUAGUGUUAAGACCACAAAAAACACUCACCAAACUAGCCAUUAUUUGCGAUGCGAUAAAAAUAUGUAACUGCAAGUGCACAGUAUCAAAUUGAAGAACUGACAAGUACAGGUCGAACUCACAGAGACUAGAUUAAUUUUAAUGUAUCGUUAAUAUCUAUUUUAAGCGAAUUAGAAAUAAUGAUGGAAAAUUGAUUAAUUAUAAUUAAACUAACUAAUAAUAAGAAAGAAAUCUAGGAAUCCAAAUCUAUUAAAAACUAAACGUAACAAAUAAUUCAAUCUAUUCUAUUUUUAUAACUUUACUAUGAUUUUGAUCUCCCUUCCCUUCCCUUUAAUUUAGUAAUUUUAUAUUUAACGUGGACACGCAUAGACUAUGAAAAUUUAAGGAUUAACAAUAAAAAACUUCUUCGAGCAAAUAUGGAUUAUGAAAAACUCAUAUCUUAACAUUAAUUUAUCAAUUUUUUUUAAUUAAUUUAAAAUCACAUAAGAACUAUAAGAAUUAUAAAACGAAGGUAUUUCAAUAACGAAACAUGAAAGUGAAAUCAAUUAAACAUAAAAGAAUAAACAAUAACAAAGAUGAAAAAUAUUAUCAUGAAUAAUUAUUUAAUUUUAUUUUCAUCCUAGAUUAAAGAAAUUAACUAUACAUGAAAAUAAAUAAACUAACUAAAAUAAAGAAGUAGAAAAUUGAAAAUAAAUAAGAAACUCCUUUUAUUAACGAUCCUCCAACAAGUUUACAAUGAAAAAGUAAUUUAAUCUACUCCUACCCUUAAACUAAACUACUACAUAAUAUUCUCCUUUCUUUCUAAACCAAGAGACCUAUUUAUAGGAAAAAUAAAUUUGUGCCAUAAUUUAGAUUCAUUGAACUUGGUGUCUUUUAUUUUCUUUUAUCCUCUUAUUUCUUUCUUAGCUUCUAUCUCUAUAUGAUAAUAUUCCAAGAGUCCUUUUCCAUCUUUAAAAAUGUGGAACAAUUAUCUUACUUAUUUAUCAAGAUAAACAAGAUAAAUCCAAUAUUGUUUCACCUCCUUCCUUUUCGUUGUAGGAUUCUUCUUGCCUCUUUCCUUUCAUGAAUAAGAGCAUUAUAUACUGAUUGAUCACCAAGAUUUUGACUUUAUUGCAACAAAUAUUAAAUUCUACAAAAUAAAAUAAAACAUAUUAAUUUAAUAAACUAAUACAAUUAAAAGGACAAAAUUAGGGAUAAGAAAAUGUAUGAAUUGUGUCUAUCAAAUACUCCAUACCUAGAUUUUGCUCGUCUCCGAGUAAAAUAAAAUAAAAGAAAAGAAAUUUUUUUUAGAACUAUCCCAUUUUCGUAGGAAACACGAUUGUACUUAGCAUGUGCAACAAGCGUUUAAACCCCAAGGUUACCCUAAGUGGACAAGUUGUGUCUCGUGAAGAUUUGCAAUGAAUAUAUCUACAAAAUUCAAAAUAAAAUAUUUUUGAGUUUAACCAAUUAUGAAAUUGAAAGAAAACUACCAAGUAUAUAUGGGCAUUAUAUACAAGUAAGAUCAAAUUCAAAAGCACACUUUCACAUCAUCAAAAAUAUUCCAUCUUCAUUCUAGACACCAUCCUUCAUUAAAUUAAUUCCAUGUCAUGCAUUGUGUAUGUGAUGCGACUCUUAGUAAGGAUUUUUACCAUGAAAAUCAAGCAAACUCAUUUUUUUUGAAUUUUUUUCUUGACUUGUGCAAUAUCUCGUUUUCUUAGGCUUUUCAGAGUUACCCAUGUAGCGAGCAUUUACCAAUAACUCUCAAACUAGUUGGCUUUAGGGCACUAAGUGUAAAGACACCCCUAAGGGUUUACUAACUCGAGUAACAAAUGCCACAAAACUAGACUAGUCAAGCUACUUAUAUCGAUCACACUUUUCAUCGUGAAUAUCCCGGUUAUUUCGUUCAAUAGACAUUGAAGCAGUUAUUUAUUUCUUUUUCUUACAUUUUUUUAAUUUUUUUUUGUCUAAUAUUUUUUUUUAAAUUGCUCAAAUCAUAAACUAAGAGUUAGUGUAAACGUGAAGUGCAAAAAUGUAUAGGAACUCAAUUUUAUUUUAGAUGGUGUUUUAAAUUAGGAUUUAGUGUCUAAUCAAAGGGUUCAAGAGUCUUAAUCUUUUAAUCUUACUAUGAGUUUUGCUCCACAGACAUUUAUUAGAAUUAAUUCAACUUAUAAGAAGUCAAACAAAAUUUUUUAUUCAUUUUUUUUCUUUUUUACUAUAUUUUUCAAAAAAAAAAAAAUCUAAUACAAUAAUACAAACAAACUACCCCUAUACCUAAAUCAUGCAUUGUCCUCAAUGUAUGCAAAUGAAGAAAAGAGAACAAAGAUAUGAAAGAAUUGUACCUUAUAUGCGGGACAUUUAUUUUGUUAAAAAAAAUAUGGCGAGAAGGAAAACAAAUGUACAUACCUACGAAUUUGGUAAAUCCUAAAGAGUAUGCUGAUACAAUUGGGUAAGUGAGUGAACUUUUCAUUAUUUUCAGAAGGUUUACGAAAUUGAAAAUAGUCAGAAUUUUCAUCACAAUUAUGCUUAAAAUUUAUCUUAAGAAAACUUUCACUACAUGUUCAAAGGAUGGAAGAAUUGUUUCAAAUACAUGUUGUAGUUUAGUUGACUUAUUUGUAGUGGAUCUCAACUCACCUUAUCUAAAUAUUCAGAUUCAUUCCAAUUUUGGUCGAAAUGAUUUAAGAAAAAAUCAAUUGGAUCCUUUUCAAUCAAGAGUUUAUUUUCAAUUAUUUCUUGGGUCGUUAACAACUCUUGGAUCAUGUUUACUUUAAUGGGUUUGUCCAAAAAGUCACUAGCUAGGUGAUUUUUCAGGAAUAAGUCUUUCAGGGUAUGAACGUUAGGCUUGUAGAUUUUUUCAACUGACUCAUUAAAUGUGACAUGAUCAAUCAUCUCAAAAUUGUUUAACUCCUCAAAUUGGUUUGACCAAGUGUGUAGAAUUAAAUCCAUAAUUUUCAUUUUUCUCAUCAUUUUCACAACCAUUAGGAUUUUCAAAAUUAACCUCAAAAUCACUAGGAAUUUCACCCUCAUCUUGUUCAUUUAUUAUGGUGACUAACCGACUCAUUUGAAUUUCUAGACGAGAUAUAGCUUGAUUCGUGUUUUGCAUAAAAUUCAAAUGAGUUUCAAUUAAAGCUUUCAUAAUUUUCUCUAAGGUACUUAAUAUUUUCUCUUUUUCAUUUGAAAAUUCUUGUGUAUAUUGAGGUUCUGGAUCCGAAUAUGGAUAUGAAUAUGAACUUAGAUAAGGAUUUUUAAAAGUUGGAAAAAAUACUUUUACUUGGUGUGUUCAUUAAAAUUUUCAUAGGGUUCUUGAUUCUAAGCAAAAUUAUUAUUCCAACUAUAAUAAGAAUCCAUCUUUUUACAAAUCACAAAACAAAUAAACAACUAACCACAAAAGUCGGAUUUUCAUAAGUUGGAAAAAAUUGAUUUACUUGGUGUGCAUUAAAAUUUUCAUAGGGUUUUUGAUUCCAAACAAAAUUAUUAUUCCAACUAUAAUAAGAAUUCAUUUUUUUACAAAUCACAAAACAAAUAAACAACUAACCACGAAAGUCACAAAAUAUAUAAAUAAAAUAAAAAUCUUAAUUCUACGGUUAACCUAUAUAAAAUCUAGACAACUCCUAACUGUUUAACGUUACACCUUAAGGUCCACAGAAUUCGAAAUUAAUCACACCACUAGUCAGGUAAGUGUAAGAACGAUGAGAGUCUCCGUAGGUACGGUAAUUAAUUGAAUAACCACGUACUUUAGGCGUUUGCCUUUUGAACCACUCGUCUAGACACAAGUAGUUUCAUUAAUUUAAAAUUUAUCUUCCUCUUGGAGUUUCUUGCCCUAAUUGAGCUCGAGAGACCUAGGGGUCAACGUCUACUCGAUUUAUUUAAGUUAAGAUUAUGCAAAAUGAAUGGGUGGUUUGGUGGCUAAGGAAUCACCACCUUAUCUUGUUACAAAUUUUUGCCCUGAAUGAGAUUAAAUAUGAAAAUCCACAAAUAAAAUAAAAAAAAUUAUAAACAAAUAAAAUGUCCUAAAACUAUGUGAAUUACGAAAGAAUGAGAAAUUUGACGUACCUCAAUUCUCCAGUAAUCACCAUAGUUUAUAUUUGACAAAAAAAAUAAAAAUAAAAAAUAAAAACCUAAACAGGACGUGCUCUACAUGAGUGAAUGUAUGAAUGCGGUAACUAAAAAUAUAUAUAUAAAAAAACUAAACUACUAAUUUUUUUAUUUAAAAAUAUGGAGAUACGAAGUACCAAAGAAAGCGCAACAACAAAAUCUUUAUCUUUUCGCUUCUUCCAUCUGCUUGAAAAAAAAUAAAAUAAAUAUUAGAGUUAAAAUAAAAAAUUAAAUAGUCCCCGACAACGGCGCCAAAAACUUGAUGUGAUAAAAAUAUGUAACUGUAAGUGCACAAAAUCAAAUUGAAGAACUGGCAAGUACAGGUUGAACCACAGAGAUUGGAUUAAUUUUAAUAUAUCUUUAAUAUCUAUUUUAGGCGAAUUAGAAAUAUAGAUGGAGAAUUGAUUAACUAUAAUUAAGCUAACUAAUAAUAUGAAAGAAAUCUUGGAAUCCGAAUUCGUUAAACAAUAAUCAUAACAAAUAAUUCAAUUUCUUCUAUUUUUAUAACUUAACUAUGAUUUUGAUCUCCUUUCCAUUUAAUUUAGUAAUUUUAUAACUAACGUGGGCAAACAUAUAUUAUAAAAAAUUUAAAGAUGAACUAUAACCCAUCAAAACUUCUUUGAGCAAACACGAAUUAUGAAAAACUCAUAUCUUAACAAUAAUCUUAUCAAAACCUCUUAAUUAAUUUAAAUUCACAUAAGAACUAUAAAACGAAGGUAUUUCAAUAACGAAACAUGAAAGCGAAAUCAAUUAAACAUAAAAGCAUAAAUAAUAAAAGAGAUGAAAAAUAUUCAUCUUCAUCCUAGAUUAAAAAAAUUAACUAGACAUGAAAAUAAACAAACUAACUAAAAUAAAGAAGAAGUAGAAGAUUAAAAAUAAAUAAGAAACUUCCUUUAUUAACGAUCCUCCAACAAGUGUUCAAUUGAAGAAGUAAUUUAAUCUUACUCCUACUCCUACUCCUACUCCUACUCCUAACCUAAAAUAAUACAUAAAACUCUCCAUUCUCUUUAAAACAAGAGACCUAUUUAUAGGGAAAUAAAUUUGUGCCCGAUUCUUUGAACUUGGUCUCUUUUGUUCCCUUUUAUCCUCUUUUUUCCUGCUUGGCUUCAAUCUCUACAUGAUAAUCUCUCAAGAGUCCUUUUCCAUCUUUAAAAUCUGGAACAAUUAUCUUACUUCUUUACCAAGAUAAACAAGAUAAAUCCAAUAUUGUUCCACCUACUUCCUUUUCGUUGUAGAAUUCUUCUUGCCUCUUUUCUUCCAUGAAUAAGAGCAUUAAAUACCGAUUGAUCACCAAAAUUUUGACUUUAUUGCAACAAAUAUUAAAUCCUACAAAAUAAAAUAAAACAUAUUAAUUUAAUAAACUAAUAUAAUUAAAAGGACAAAAUUAAGAAAAAUAAAAUGUAUGAAUUAUAUGUCUAUCAAUUUGUAUCAUUGCUUGGUGAAAGUCAAGUACUUUUCUUGGACAACUAUAUAUAACACGAUAACACUAACCAUUCUAAAAUGUAGUAACUUGCAAUGCCCUGCCUUAAUUGCGGUUGAUUCUUUUUUCUGGAGGUCCAAUUAAAAGUUCAGUCUCCACAACCAAAUUCUCAAUGUUAUCUGUGGAUGUCAAUAUUUCUUGUUCCUCAGUUGAUCCUUGUCGUGGUUGAAUUUUAUACUGAAAACUUAACGAAAUAAUACAUGAGAAUUCGGCUAUGAUACUGAAUCAAUCCACAGAUGCCAAAAAAAAAAACUAAACAACUUCUUCAAGAUCUUUUGUGCAUAAAUGUUUUCCCAUGAGAAACCUCUCCUUAGUCUUAUAUUUUGUCUUCAAACCAAAAAAGUGUGAAAUGCAACGUCUGAUCUUUCUCACGUACAAAUCUACAUUUCAAAUACAAUAUAGAAAAGCAAAUGGCUUCACCUUUGCGAGUGCAUAUUACAAGAUCAAAGAAAAUAUGGCACCACAAAUUAUAUACAAGCACAAUACUCCUCUCCCACUGAUUGCUCAAGAAAAACAAUACAGACUGGGUUUUGAGUCUUGCAUCAAAAUAAAGAUCGAGCCUUACAGCAAACAGUCAUUUUCUCUUUUGAAUUCUUGAGCAAUUCAGUGCAAAAUAGAUACAUACUUAGAACAGUUUACCUUUUUCUUUAGUUGCUCAAUCUGCUCUUGAAGACUUGUCUAGACUACAUAUACCCAAAGAUAGAAGAGGUUUGAUUCUAAGUUGUUUGAGAAUCAUAUGAACCUAUUUCAUUUUUUCCCCAAAAGGAUACCUUUCUUAUUGCUCUUACACUUUUCUCCAGCUGCUGUUCUAUCUGUUGUAGUUCUUCAAUGGAGCAUGAUCCCAGGCCUUCUCCCAAUAGUUUCUUGCACUCAAAUUUUCAUGUUUAUAAAUGUUUUGACAAUAACUGGAUCUUAAUGACAAGAUUAUAGUGCCAAAGUCCAGAGUAAGAUGCAGACAGAUGAACUGUUUCUAGACUUUAAGAAGCUCUAUCUUCAGAUGUGAUCUUUUGUAUUUUGUUGGCUUAAGAACUUCAGAGUUUAUGGAAGAGGGCGAAUAACUUUUAUGAAAGACUAUUUUGUUUGUAUGUUUGUUAUAUAGAAAUGCAGUUCUUGGAUUUGAGAUAUUUGCAUAAUUUACUCUCGUUGGGUUAGUAUUGGAUUGUAGUUCUGAUUUUACUUGCAUUGUUUUUGUAUUAAUUGCAUUAUAUAAUACUAAUUGAUGAGCAUUGCUUUUAAAUUGUAAUUUGUUCCACUUCAAUACCUGAUUUGGAUGAAGUUCUAGGUAUUCCCAUGGAUUCCUUUUAUGAUUUUUAUUUUUCGGAAUAUUUUUUCUUGUUAUUAGUCAUAUACAAUUCAUGUAACAAACAGUUGUUUGUUAGCUUGGCUGUGUUAGAUGUUGCACUGGAAAUACAGUUCCCAGACUAAAAGAAUAAGUAAAUGAUGUUUGUUAUGCAGGGAAGUAUGUGGUGAUGCUGGUUGAUGGUGUUUCAGUUGCAAAAACACCAGAAGAGGGAAUUGAGUUUUAUGUGAAAGACGGUUCGUACAAAUGAACUGAUAUUUUUCUUGGACUUUCUCAAAGUAUUCAUCUGUUUUACUAUAACUACAUAUUUAUUACAACUUAAAUGAAUGUCAAAAGUUAUUGAUUUUAAUAUGCAUGCUGUCAGUUUUAGCUGUAUGCUUGCCAUCAAUUCUAAAACACUCUAUUUUGCUGCCAUAAAUUGUCUAUUUUGCUCUGGUUUGCCUUGCAUAUUGAGUUUCAAAAUAUUGCUAAGAAAGCUCACUGACCUUCAGAAGAGGCUGAUCGAGAAGGCAUCAUGAGCGUAUGGGAGCACAAGCGGACAUUAUUAGGUAUAUUGUUCAUUAUUAGAUAGGACAACUUUGAGUGUUGAGUUAAACUUCUUCAUUUUUUAAAAAUAAAUCCUCAACUUAACUGUGGGAUUCCCAGAUAAUUGAGGACGAAAUCACAUUUUGUUAAACGGGAGGUGAUGAUCUGUAUGGUGACAAUGUGAUGUGCUUUACAGCCUACACCUUAAGCUUUUGAUUGUUAUUGAAGGACUAAAGGGCUGCAGUUACUAGACUAGUGUUAGCAUUUAGGCACUAAUACCCUAAGCUGCUGCAAAAUUUAAAAACUUCAACAGGUGCUGAUCGUAGAGCUGAGUCUGUUGGAGAUAUUGAUUUUUCUGUUCUUUUCAUGGAAUGAUGGAUGGUUUUACAGUUGAGUCUGUUGCUCCAAAUCCUGAUUUUUUAGUUAAAUGUGGAUGAAAUCACUUUCUUAAGGGGUGGGGGAGGGGGGUGAUUUUCCGUCUAUUGACAAUAUGGGGUGCUUUACCGCUAAACCUUAAGCUUUUGAUUGUUAUUGAAGGACCAAACGGAUGAAGUUACUAGACUAAGUAAGCAUUUAGGCAUUAAUUCCAAGCUGCAGCAAAAUUUGAAAACUUUUAGUCCCUUUAUGGGCUUUGUUGUUCGCUAAUUGUUCUAUCAAUUGCAUUCUUCAUUUGCCAACACAUUGAUAUUUUGGCAGGAUUUUCAUGGAAGGAUGGCUUGCUGGUUCUAGAGCGAGAGCCGAGUACAUUGACACAUCCAAUGCAGGUGAGUCUUUUGUUGGUGGAAUACUACACUUUUUGUUUUCUAAUCCUGAUUUUUACAAGGCUAUCCCUACAGCUGCUUUACUAUCUGUUGAAGUUUUUCAAUGAUCCCAAACCUUCUCCCAAUAGUUUCCUGCA
rnacentral:lncRNA from 1 species